AGUCCUCCUCUGCUCUGGCAGAUAAAAGAAGAAUAGGCAAAGCAGCUAAGGAUCUCUCUGGAGCAUCAGAGGAAGGAGGCAAAGAACCACGAAGAGGAGUUGCAUAAAGACGCCUCAGAAAAGGUGAACGAAGCAAUAGAGGAGGAGAGGAGGAAGUGUGAGACAGAAAAAGUGGAGGCUAUGCAGGAGCACUGUGGGACACUGGAGGAGCAGAACAAAUAUGUGCAGCGAGAGAAGAGUAGAGCACAAGCUUUACAACAUAAAGUGUUGGAACUAAAAACAAGGAUGCAGGAGUUGGAGAGUGAACGUUGUGCACAGGAGAGAGAGCAUCAGUCUUUUCUGGCUGUUAUUUGUGGAUCACUGAAAGAGGAGCUCCAGGCUGAGCUGCAGAGGUUGAAGAAACAUAUGACACAGAAAGGAAGGAAACCACAAAAUUUAAUCAAUUGUAGGCAAAUAAAAGGAGACACUGUCAUAAAAAGGGUUAUCAUUGAGUGGUCUGUGGUCACAGGAGAACCAGAGGACGGCGCUGCAGCUUGACAAGGCUGUUCAGCUGGCAAAGAAAGAGGCUGACAGGCUCCGGGUGACGCUGGAAGAAAGGGAGCGAGGUUACAACAGAAUCACUGUUGAGCUGGACCAGCAGCACAGACACUGGGCCCAGGAGAAUUGGGGUUGAGCGAGAUAGAGCCUUAGACUCUGUGAAGGAGCGCCUCAUUCAGGAGCCCAUUGAGGAGUUGAGCAGCCUGAACAGGACUCAGCUGACUGGUGGAGGAGCUGAAGAAGGAGGAGCAGAUGGAUCUCUGUGCAAGCAGUUGAAGGCCAAAGACAUGGAGCUCAGGCAGGUGCAG